rnacentral:tRNA from 1 species
CAGAGAGUAGUUUAAAGAAAAAUGUUAAUUUUGGGGAUUAGUGAUGAAGGUGACUUUCUCUCUGA